rnacentral:rRNA from 1 species
UACGUAGGGUGCAAGCGUUAUCCGGAUUUAUUGGGCGUAAAGAGUUUCGUAGGCGGUUUGUUAAGUACAUGGUUAAAGGCUCUGGCUCAACCAGAGAGAUGCUGUGUAUACUGGCGAACUUGAGGGUUGUCGGGAGUGCUGGAAUUCUCGGUGGAGGGGUGAAAUCCGUUGAUAUCGAGAGGAACACCAAAGGCGAAGGCAGGCACUUAGGCAACAUCUGACGCUGAUGAACGAAAGCUAGGGGAGCGAAAGGG